AGCUAAUAGAUACCCCGGUAGUCCACGCCGUAAACGAUGAUGACUGGACCGGUGCGGGUCUUACCCCGUAUCGGUCGAAAGCGAAAAAGCGUUAAAGUCAUCCGCCUGGGAAAUACGGUCGCAAGACUAAAACUCAAAUGAAUUGACGGGGGCUCACACAAGCGGUGGAGCAUGUUGCUUAAUUCGAGGCAACGCGAAGAACCUUACCUGGGUUUGACAUGUACGGAUCAACUCUAUGAAAGUAGAGCCACAGUCGCAAGACCGGAACGUGCACAGGUGCUGCAUGGCUGUCGUCAGCUCGUGCUGUGAAGUGUCGGGUUUAAGUCCCUUAACGAGCGCAACCCCUAUCGUUAGUUGCCACCAGGUCAUGCUGGGCACUCUAACGAGACUGCCGGCGUUAAGCCGGAGGAAGGUGGGGAUGACGUCAAGUCCUCAUGGCCCUUACAUCCAGGGUUGCAAACGUGCUACAAUGGUGCAUACAGAGCGAUGCAAGAGCGCAAGCUGGAGCAAAUCGCAAAAAGUGC
rnacentral:rRNA from 1 species